UCGAGAAUUUUUCACAAUGGGCGAAAGCCUGAUGGAGCGACGCCGCGUGGGGGAUGAAUGGCUUCGGCCCGUAAACCCCUGUCAUUCGCGAUCAAACCUGGCUAUUUAAAAGAUGGCCAGCUGAUAGUAGCGGAAGAGGAAGGGACGGCUAACUCUGUGCCAGCAGCCGCGGUAAUACAGAGGUCCCAAGCGUUGUUCGGAUUCACUGGGCGUAAAGGGUGCGUAGGUGGUGAGGCAAGUCGGAUGUGAAAGCUCGGAGCUCAACUCCGAAAUGGCAUUGGAAACUGCCUUGCUCGAGGGUCGGAGGGGGGACUGGAAUUCUCGGUGUAGCAGUGAAAUGCGUAGAUAUCGAGAGGAACACCAGUGGCGAAGGCGAGUCCCUGGACGACUCCUGACACUGAGGCACGAAAGCUAGGGGAGCAAACA
rnacentral:rRNA from 1 species